AUGUAGCCCGACCUGAGUGAACAUCUUUUAUUUGUGGAUUGGAAAGGCUGAUAAAAAAGAUUAGGAACGGAGACCGGAUCAGUU
rnacentral:misc_RNA from 1 species